rnacentral:lncRNA from 1 species
AAGAAACACUGGAUGCCUUGUAGAGUGUUGCAGUUAUGAAUUGAGGACUCAAAAGAAUAUAAAGGAAUUCAGACAACAAAAGAAAUGAAAUUGACCAGGGAACAUACAUAGUAAUAAUUAUAGUAUGAAAUUGAGACUAAAGCACCAAGAAACUUUCAAAUGUCAGUACACUGAAAGUCUUGAAACAAAUGGAACCAAAGCCUAAGUCAAGAGGUGAACCAAGAAAGCUCUUUUCAUUAAAAUAGACCCCCAAAAGAACAGGGCAUCAGUGAUUAAAAAUGUCAGAAGAUACAGCAAAGAAAAGUAAAGUAAGGAUCAUGAUAGCAAAACUCAAUAAUGUCAAGAUUCUAAAGGAAUAUUAGAAGAAUAUGCUUCUCACUUUACAAAGUAGAAUGCCUAAUGUACUACCAAAAUAAAAUGAAAAGAAUGGACAGAAGAAAAGUAUCAAAUCAGAGAAGAGAGUUCAGCUCAUAUAAUGUUAAGAAUGUCAGUGAAGCAAGCUGUUUGUGGCCUAUGAAAUCUUAGAGGACUACACACUAUACUGAAAAUGCCUAGUGGAAAAAAGAGGCCAUGACUAAAUGAUUAAGAAUCCACAGCAGAGACACUUUUCAAAAGAAGACAUACAAGUGGCCAACAAACAAAUGAAAAGAUGCUCAACAUCACUAAUCAUCAGAGAAAUGCAAAUCAAAGCCACAAUGUGAAACCAUCUUAUACCAAUCAGAAUGACUGUUAUUAGAAAGUACAAAACAACAGAUGCUGGCAAGGAUGUGGAGAAAAGGGAAGGUUAAUACAGGAUUGAUGGUAAGGUAAAUUAGUUCUGACACUAUGCAGAGCAGUUUUGAUUCCUCAAAAAGACAAAAUAGAACUACCAUUCAACCCAGUAAUCCCAUUCCUGGAUAUAUAUUGAAAAGAAAAUAAAUUGUGCUACCAAAAAAAGACACAUGCACUUGUAUGUUCAUUUUAGCACUAUUCACAAUAGCAAAAACAUAAAAUCAACCUAGGUGCCCAUCAAAAGUGGAUUAGAUAAAGAAAAUACAGUACAUAUAUGUCAUAGGAUACUAUGCAGUCAUAAAAAGAAUGAAAUGUAUUUUGCAACAACAAGGAUGGAGGCCAUUAUCCUAAGUUAAUUAAUGCAGGAACAGGAAACUAAAUACCAUGUGUUCACACUUACAAGUGAGAGCUAAACAUUGGGUACUCAUGGACAUAAAGAUGGCAACAACAGACACUGGGGACUAUCAGAG